rnacentral:piRNA from 1 species
UAACUCAUCAGUAUGCUCAGACACCAGCCA